AGCCAACAUCCAUCCUUAGUUCACCAGAAUUCGAAGAAAGAAAGAGAGGAGGAGACUUCAUUUGCUGCAUCCAAAACUCCAAGCAAAUCCCCACUGAACUAAAGGAAAACGCAUCAGCUAAUCAAGCACGAAAUACACAAGGUAUUCACACCAUCUCAGUUCAGUUUAAAUCCAUGCUUCAUACCAUCAAGCAUACAUUUCAGUUGUAUAGAAAUACAUAUGCAGCAAACAUAGAAUGAUAAAGAACUAGAUGAUUAGCCCAAUCACAGUUAAUAUAUGUUUCUUCGUGAGAUAGACGAUGAGAAUUCAUAAGACAUUAGAAGACAGCACUGCCUAGUUUUAACCUUUUGCAUAAUCAACAUAUAUAUAUAGGAACCAAGAGAAUCACAUUUAUACAGAACUAGAAAGAAAAUAAGAAAACUCUAUCCUGAUUAACUGCAUCCUGAGUUGGGAAACGAGCCGGGAGAGCUCGGCUUAUGCUCGAGUGUUGAAUUGAGGACCAAUGACUGAUAGACGAGGGAGAGGUGUGGACUGCCGAGAACGAUGGUUCGGAGAGCUAGAACCAAGGGAAGUUCUGUCCCGAGGGACAGAGCGGCAACGACUCGAGACGGCGUGACGACGCGGCGAAGGAACCGAGCAGAGCAGCGCCAAAAGCAGGGUGCGGCCUCACCGGAGAGUCAGCGGCAGCGGCAUCCGCGGCGGACAAACUCCAGCGACAAUGAACGUCGUAGACGGCGGCGAGAACCCACAAUCUCCGGCCAG
rnacentral:lncRNA from 1 species